rnacentral:rRNA from 1 species
CGGGUGAGUAAUGUCUGGGAAACUGCCUGAUGGAGGGGGAUAACUACUGGAAACGGUAGCUAAUACCGCAUAACGUAGCAAGACCAAAGAGGGGGACCUUCGGGCCUCUUGCCAUCAGAUGUGCCCAGAUGGGAUUAGCUAGUAGGUGGGGUAACGGCUCACCUAGGCGACGAUCCCUAGCUGGUCUGAGAGGAUGACCAGCCACACUGGAACUGAGACACGGUCCAG